rnacentral:rRNA from 1 species
UACAGAGGGGGCUAGCGUUAUUCGGAAUUAUUGGGCGUAAAGGGCGCGUAGGCGGCCAUGCGUGUCUUCCGUGAAAUCCCUCGGCUUAACUGAGGACGUGCGGAAGAAACUGCAAGGCUCGAGUCCGGGAGAGGGGGGUGGAAUUCCCAGUGUAGCGGUGAAAUGCGUAGAUAUUGGGAGGAACACCAGUGGCGAAGGCGGCCACCUGGACCGGUUCUGACGCUGAUGCGCGAAAGCGUGGGUAGCAAACAGG